AUCGCUUCUCGCCUUUUUGGCUAAGAUCAAGUGUGGUAUCUGUUCUUAUCAGUUUAUUUGACGCCCCCCACCCGGGACCAUAUAUUAAAUUGCUUUUUGGAGCAGGGAGAUGAAUAGGGCUUGCUCCGUCCAUCUUAACGCAUCGACCUGGUAUUGCAGUGAUCUCCGAACGGUGCGCCUCCU